AUGAUUUCUGCCCCUUUCUCAACAAUCAAGGCCCGGUUCACUAAUCCCUGUAAGUAGAGAGGUUUGACGCCUCGACCAAUCUGAAAAUCGCAGAUCGCAAACCCACCUCAAAUAUGCGAGCCUUGUCCUCAUCAUCUCGAACCACAAAAGGAACGCAGUGCAGUAAUCGGGAGAACUCUCGCUCAUACUCUGCCACUGUCCUGUCCCCCUGCCUCAAGUUUCUCAAAUCCCUUUCCAUCUGCCUCUUCACACUCUGAGGAAAAUAGGUCGUCAACAACAAUUCCUUGAACCUGUUCCACGUAAUAGCGGACAAAUCAGUACGGGGAUCCUCACGAAUGUCCACCCACCACCUGUAAGCCUCGCCGUCAAGGUGGUGCGUCGCAAACC
rnacentral:lncRNA from 1 species